rnacentral:rRNA from 1 species
UACGGAAGGCAGCAGUGGGGAAUAUUGGACAAUGGGCGAAAGCCUGAUCCAGCCAUGCCGCAUGAGUGAAGAAGGCCUUCGGGUUGUAAAGCUCUUUUAGUGAGAAAGAUAAUGACGGUACUCACAGAAGAAGUCCUGGCUAACUCCGUGCCAGCAGCCGCGGUAAUACGGAGAGGGCUAGCGUUAUUCGGAAUUAUUGGGCGUAAAGAGCGCGUAGGCUGAUUAGUAAGUUAAAAGUGAAAUUCCAAAGCUUAACUUUGGAAUUGCUUUUUAAAACUGCUAGUCUAGAGAUUGAAAGAGGAUAGAGGAAUUCCUAGUGUAGAGGUGAAAUUCGUAAAUAUUAGGAGGAACACCAGUGGCGAAGGCGUCUAUCUGGUUCAAAUCUGACGCUGAGGCGCGAAGGGCGUGGGGAGCAAACGAGGGAUUAGAUACC